rnacentral:lncRNA from 1 species
AAUAUCAAAACACAAAGAGAAGGAUAAAUGGCGUGCGUCUGGAGUUGAUAAAUUGCAAAGCUUCACGAAAGUACAAUGUGAGAUUCCUCGGGUUCCGAUUCCCAGUUGACAGCAGCCACGGCACAAGUUUCCUCCCGAACAGUACAAUUUGUCAUCAGGGUCACCAACUUGAGCAUGAAACGCGUGGUAUAUAUAACAGCAGUUCACGUUCAGCACUGCACGGCAGCAUAAAGAGAGAUUCUUCGAGUCUCAAUUAGUAGCAGAUAAAUUUUCCAAUCAGCAUCUAGACCAGAUAAAUCUCAAACCAAGAAUCUACUUUACCCGAGACUUUGCCGUGCGCUCAUUGGGCUCAAGCAUAUGCGAUAAACCGAAGUUCUAUCCGCCGCGCCAUCGCCUUCUUUCCCUCUUUAUAAAAGGCCAGCAAGGAGCUCAAGCUUCUUCCAACACCACAAUGGCUCACAACUUCGUGCCUGAUGCAUGGGGUUGGAUCAGCAGCCUGCCCCCAUUCUCCCAGUGGCGCACCAACACCAUGUCCCUCUGCAUCUGCGCCACGCCUUCAGCGUCGGCGUCAUCACAGCCGGCAUCAAUGACCCUCUCGGUUGCCAAAACACCUCCCACCCAGCCUUCCUACCUCACCUUCUCCAUCUCCGCCAACUACCGCGAGCCGAUAUUCCUGUGGACGUCGAAACCGG